rnacentral:misc_RNA from 1 species
GAUGAAGAACGUAGCGAAAUGCGAUAAGUAAUAUGAAUUGCAGAAUUCAGUGAAUCAUCGAAUCUUUGAACGCACAUUGCGCCCGCCAGUAUUCUGGCGGGCAUGCCUGUUCGAGCGUCAUUUCAACCAUCAAGCCCCAGGCUUGUGUUGGGGUCCUGCGGCUGCCGCAGGCCCUGAAAAACAGUGGCGGGCUCGCUGUCACACCGAGCGUAGUAAUACAUCUCGCUUUGGACGUGCGGCGGGUUCUUGCCGUUAAACACCCCCCCUUCUCAAGGUUGACCUCGGAUCAGGUAGGAAUACCCGCUGAACUUAAGCAUAUCAAUAAGCGGAGGA